UACAGAGGUCCCAAGCGUUGUUCGGAUUCACUGGGCGUAAAGGGUGCGUAGGUGGUUGGGUAAGUCUGAUGUGAAAUCUCCAAGCUCAACUUGGAAACUGCAUCGGAUACUAUCCGACUAGAGGGUUGGAGGGGAGACUGGAAUACUUGGUGUAGCAGUGAAAUGCGUAGAUAUCAAGUGGAACACCAGUGGCGAAGGCGAGUCUCUGGACAACUCCUGACACUGAGGCACGAAAGCUAGGGGAGCAAACAGG
rnacentral:rRNA from 1 species